UCCAUUCUGUAUAGUUGUUGCCUUUCAGAAUGGGUAUCUCUUUGAGACACGCCAUUAAGUUGAAUGAUCCUGAAAUUUACAAUCCAUAAGUGAGAUCAUAACGACAAUUGCAUGAUUUAUUUCCAACGUUGGUCAAAAAAUAAAAACAUACAACUGCUGAUGCACUUUAAAACUAUAUCACCGUUGGGCAGAAAUAGAAAUAAAAGCAUCAAAAGAACUUUUUAAAUCAUGAUACAGUUAUUAACAACGUUGGUUAGAAAAUAACAGCACCAUGAUCUAAUUAACUUUAUCAUGCUCUCACAAAAUUUAAUUGUCUCGUUGGUUCAAAUUAAAUUUAAAUGGAGCAAGAAAUAUGACUUUUGCAGCGGAAACUGUGAAAUAAAUCUAUUUUCAGAAGCAAAACACUGUACAAACUUUAUUAAUCUCUAAUACAAAUUAUCCCGUUGGUUCAAAUUAGAUUAGAGACUAAAACUAUGCAAAAAAACAUCAAUUAAAUGCUUCUGGAAAUAGAGAAAACUAAAAAACAGACGUUACUGUGCAAAACCCGAAAAUCGGCCCAGCCGCGAAAAUGGCCCACAGCCCGUUCCCGCGCGCGGCCCGCUCGCGCGACGCAGCCGGCCCGCUAACGCGGCCCACGAAGAUGGCCCGGCGCUCAGCCUCCCGCGCGGCCGCUGGUAAGCAGGCCGCAACCUGGGCUUGGGCCGCCAAAGCGGCCCAGCGCUUUCUCCCGCCUGGGCCGAAACUGGCCCGUUCAUCUUGAUCCGUCCGAUUUGAUCGGACGGUCCGGCGGCAUUCGCGGCGGAUCAAAACCGGCUGCCGCGGCCGGCUCCCCUAACCCUAACGCCAUUCCUUCUGUCUUCCCCGCGAGCUCCCGCCGUGGCGGCGGCGGCGGUGGAGGGAUGGCCCCGCCGGCGCACGGCCGCGGCAGCCCCCUCCCUCUUCUCUUUCUGUUUCCCUCCCCCUCUCCCUCUCCCUCGGAGCAUACUCCAAGAUCCAGGAGGUGGAGGGCCGGCGCCACCGCGGGUCCCCUCGCCGGCGCGCGCGUCCACCCCGAGGGUUGGGCGCGCCGCCGUCGAGCGGUCCUGUGGUGGUGCUUUUGUGCCCCCCCCGAGCCCCGAGCGGAUGCUCUGGCGGCUCGGGUGAACCUUUUCUCCGGCGAGCCCGAGGCUCGGCCGGCCUUUGCCGCUCGCCGUCGGUGGACGUGCGGCGGUGAAGUCGACGACAGGUAAGUCUCCCGGCGUCCCUCUUUUCUUUAGAUCUAGGGUUAGGGUUAGGGUUUUGGUUUCUGUUUCUUUUCUAUCUUCUUCUUUUUCUCGAUCUACUUCUUUUCCCGAUCUAGAGUAGCUUCUAGGAGGUGUCUGAUACCAUUGUUAGUGCCUAGCCUAGGAUCUUUAGAGCACAUCUAGUCGGGAUUGAGAGAGCCAUAAGGGGCAUGGUGUUCCUGGUGAGUGCCAAGUGUGAGUGAGAGGGAAAUGGGGUACCUUCACCCCUAGAGGUGGGAGCAGCAGAGCUGCUGGCCAUCGCUGGUUCUGUCGAUGAAGUCUGCGCAAGGCAGCGACGCGCAGUGCCGACUCCGGUCGCCGGUGAGGUGGCGGUGGUGCUUCCCGCCGCUACUGCGCAACCUAGAUCGGUAGGUGUGUGUCGGUGGGGCGGCAGGCUACGGCGAACCUCGUGAGCCGAGCCGGGUCCCCCCACCCUGUUUAUAUAGCGCAGCGUGACAGGGGCCCACCACCCAUUGAUAGGGUGAGCGCCCCCGAUCAGGGCGCAGAUCAAGGUCCUGAUUGGCCUUUGGGCCAAUCGGGAAAGAGAUCAAUCUAACAGC
rnacentral:lncRNA from 1 species